AAGGCCAGCAUAGACCAAUGAAAUUUUUUUCUCCAGGAUAGCUACAGAUGGCCUGUGGCUCCUAUUACAUCACUUUCCUUUCCCACAUGUUUUCAUAGCGACUCCUUCCUUUGCUGACACUUUUCUACUAUCUGAGACCUUACUGGAAUCCCAAGGAGAAAGGCCAAAAGUCACUAUUAUUAGAAGGGUGGAUUAAUUACUGUGAAUUAAGGGCUAGAUUUUCAAAACUGACUAAUGAUUUUGGGUGCCCAACCUGAGACACCUCAAAAGGGCCUGAUUUCCAGAGGGUGAGUGGCUCACACACCCUGAAAAUCAGACCUCUUUCAGGUGUCCAUUUGGGCCCUCAAAAAUCCAGGCACUGGAAAUGAGUAGUCACUUUUGAAAAUGUAGGCCUUAGCCCUUGUUUCUGUUCAUGAACAGAUCCUAAGGUCCAAGAACACAGUAGUUAUUUAUAAAUAUUCCCCAGAUCGUUUGGAGGAACAAUUUUCAGCUCACUAACUCCAUUUGCUAAUCUUUAUUCAUGUACUAUUAUUUCUGUUCCUUGAUUAGAUGACAAACUCUUUAAACUAGAGAACAUCAAAUACUGCACUUUCUGCAAUUAAGUUUUUGAAGAACAGCUUGUGCUAAAACUCAAGAAACUUUGAGGAUCUGUGAACAUUUUCACCAAUCCCCACUGCUUUUCCCAGAUACAUGCAAAUAAUAAACACUGAUUCUAAUUUAACUGUCUAAAACUGUGCACAAGUUGUGGCUGAAAGCACAUUAGCAUCAACAGUCUUUAGCAGGGCACCAACACUGUUUCCCUAGCUGAUGUGCAUGAAGUUAUCAUCCUGAGAUCCAUGCUACAGUCUAACCCCACUGGCACACAGGUAGGAUAUAGCACAGUUUAGUAAUGGAGUCUCCAGGGGAAAAACACCACAGCUGUCCAUGAUGCACUGGGGAAGCUGAGCUGGCAUGUGUUCAAUGCGUCAGCUGUGGUGCAGACAGGCCCUAAUAGAGAUGGAGUCCAUAAGUCCAACAAGGCCCGAAUGUGCUCCAGAUAAUGAGCUGCACAUCACCCAGCUCUCCACUCUUGCUCAUUUAAGCAGAGAACCUCUGAGAUUCCACUUUGAGCAAGCGAGGGAAAGUAGCUGAGCGAGUCUGCUUAGAUCUAUUUUUAUAUACCUUCUCCAUCUGUUCCUCUCCACAGCUGGCAGAGCCUGGGACUGCAGUGUUAGCUCUUCAUAACAAAAGCUUCCUUAUGAAACAUGGGGCACUCCUCUCUCCCCACCGGGUUUGGUUGCUGGGGCAAUCUAUUUUGGGAGACACAGAUGGCAUGCCCAUCUUCUCACCGAGCAGCAGAGAAGAAUAAGCAAAUGCUAGCCAGUGAUAAAUGCUCAGCCAAAUACAACAUUGGCACCACAUCAAGGGUCUGACAAACCCACAGAACCCAGGGAGGGAGUUCAUGGCUUGGGCUGACACACAGGUCCCAUCAAGGGGAAUGGGAUUCAUGGGUGAGUCUGAGUUACUGGACAGUUUUCACUAGCAUAAAGGCUUUUGAAAGGCAUAAAGACAUAGCAGAGAGCUCCCUGCCAUGGUACCUUCAUAGCACAGAGCUGUAUGUCUCAGCUCUAUCCUGUCUGGUAUUUGAUUGUGCUGAUUCUAUGUCCUGUGUUUAUUUUUCUUGUGCAUAUAUCCAUGCGGGGGGUGAAGGGACCAGGUUUGACCUGCUGGAAAGCCAUUGCAUCCCUAACUGCAGCACUGACCAAAAAAUCAAUGAAGAACUACAUGAGGCAGCUUCCACCUACCUUAGGAUGCGCAGAAGCAAGGGGAAGUCAAAGGCUGUGGAUCUUGAAAGGAAACAGGUUCCUGUGCAUCUCAUCUUGAAGGCGAUGUCAGCAGCUGUGUCUAUUCAGAGAGAAAAACAGGGACACACAUUUUAAACACUGAGAUAUCUGACACACGGAGCAUCGGACCAAAUGGAAAAACAGCAAAUGCAUUGCUAAACAGCUAGGGAUCUCCCUUCUUAGACAGGCAGAACAUGGCUGUACUGGGGGCAGAGUUGCACUUCUAUCAGGGCCUGAUUCAUAAAAAGGCCUUAAUGUAAAUGAGAUCCAGGCCCUCAACAUUUAGCCUUGCUGGUUCUGAGCUAUCUGCAUUUUACAGACCUGCAGGCCCAAAGGCCAGAGCAGCUUGACCCGGGGUUUGAAGGGAAGAGAAGGUUAAUCUGUCAUUACAAGGGUUCCAUGCUGAAUACACCAUUUUCCAGAGUGAGAGGUGAAUCGAAGAGCCCUAUGGGUGGAAAUGAAACAGAAGGUGAUAUCAACAUGCCGACACCGCAUCUCACACUUGAGUGGUACAGUGAAAUCUUACUGUGAGAUUGUUUCUGAUGGUCAUCAAGAAGGCCAUGCAACAUUAAUAUCGUGGGAGGUGCAAUCAUCCUGGAGAUCUCUGAUAACACAGGUUUCCAUUGAUACAGCAAAUCCACACAUCAGGAAAACACAAGAUCAAUCUCCAAUGGCAAGCAUUUCUAUCUGGGUUCAUGUUUGUGGGCACACCCAAGUGACCCAGAGCAUCAUCCAAGUUUGCUCCUGAUUCACAGUGCUGGUUCAAACUUUUCAAUUCUGCCAGAAACAUCUACGGACUUUACAAAUUGCUUAUUCUGUGGAUGGAACCAGAAGUAUUUUCAUUGGGACAGCGGUAUUGGAGACAAAUGUCUUCAUGAGUUAGCUGCAAUCACCAUACAACUCUUCUUCUUUGGCCUUAGUGGUACUGUAAGUACACACAACAGUCCACAAAUUCACUUAUGGCUCAAAAGGGAUAACACAAUUAACAUCAAGAAACUGCUCCAGUAUUUCAUUAUAUGAUUCCCAGCCCUCUUUAUAAAGAUCCAUAUGUAUCAGAACCCCAGCCACCAUGUGUAGGAUCAGACAGAUUAGGCACACUCUUACUUAUGCCAAUAUUUAACAGAAGAGGGGAUGUGGCAGGAAUUCAUCCAAAAGCUAGCAAGUCUUAAAGCUACAAUUCAUGCUGCUUUCUAUGAGCCAAGUUUUCCAAAUGACUGAACGAUUUAAUAUCAGUGGUGUCCAUUGUGCAGCAAGGGAAGGGCUGUUUGGAAGGAAUGAAGGCAGGAAGCAAUAAUGGAGGAGUUUUGUUUAAUCCUCAGAGUUGCUGAGCACCUGCUACUUUCAAUAAUUCCGAGGACUGAACUCAGCCACAGGGGCUGGAGGGUCUCCACCCCACCAGCUUUCAGACCACUGAGAAAACUAUUGGUUUGUUCAUUAGUUUCUGUUUAUGGCUCAGUUUUAAAGGCAGAAUCAGCACAGAGUCGAAGCAACCUUCUCCAUCCAGGAUCAGCAGCAAGACACAUGCACACACCAAAUGCAGUGCCUCUCUCCUACAGAAGGCAGCUUCAGCACCUACCACAGCUCAGUCCUUUAACAUGCCUCUGAAAUAGGCAUUUAAAGUUAAACAGAAUACAUUGCUAAGCAGAACAUUCUGCCAAGUCCUGCCACCAGGACUGCAUGUUAUAGGGCACUUGCCAACUCCUUAGUCAAUUUUAUUUAUUAUAGUCUAGGAAAGGUCACAAAGAAUCUCAAAAGAUAAAAAUCUCUGUCUGUCAGGCUGCCUUCCUUAUUUUCAUUGGCCCAGGCCUCUGCGUUCCACACUAACAAUAACAGGAUACAGGUUCAAGAGGCACCAUCAGCGCAGCUCACACUUAAAUGGUCUGAGUUUAUUUUUCAUUCCUUGUAUAGCUGAUCCUUACUGCUCAAUUCUCUGUUCAUUAGAUUUCUCUUGGAUAAGAUUACUGUAAAGUAUAAGAGCCUGACGCCACCCUAAAACCCAAACACAGACACAUUAGACAUUUGCAGCCCAGUGAGUGCCAGUUCCCUUCCAAAGGAUGCAGCUUCAAGUCCUUAGUCCAGAUGUAAACUCACCUGUCUGGGGCAUCCUUAGUCCAGAUGUAAACUCACCCGUCUGGAGUAUCCUCAGCUCUCACAGGGACAUUUUGCACUGCAGUUCCCAUGUCCAUACUUUUCUGAAGUUGCAGGACCAUUUUGGUGUCUCUAUCCCUUACCCUCUGUCCCUCAGAACCAUCCUAGCUGAUACCAACCGCUCCACUUGGCUAAGAACACCUCUUGCAAGGUACCUGAAAUCAUCGUAAUGCUCUCCUGGAUUCUGAGCAGAAGCUUCCUGUCUCUCUGCAGGAUCUUACCAGGGACAGUUCCUACCAUGUAGGAUCAAGGUGCCAACUUGGCUGGCACUGCGCACUGCAGCCCUCCGAUCCCAUCCUGCUCCUGUUGUGGAUUUCAAACUCAGUCUGUCAUGGCUUUAAAAGGAAGAGUUGCUUCCCUGUAGCACCAAAGUGCUGAGUUUGCUUCCCUUACAGGCAUGUGAGGCUUUCCCCUCAGCUGCAUAUUUAAACUGGGAUUUUCAAAGAAGCAUAAGGGAGUUAGGCAUGAAGGUCAAUAGGAGCAGUAUGUGCUCAACUCCCGUAAACUCUCCUUUGAAAAUCCCACCCCCCCAUUUUAUGAGGAGAGAACAUUAAUCUCAGAUAUUUUAAGUGCCCAUCAUAGCACACACAUUGUCCUCAGGGGAGUCAAAGAAGGGAUGGGAGGAAAUACAGUCCUCUAACUACUCAUUAUUGGUAUGUCUACAACCCAAAUUAAGGUGUAAUUGAGGAUGCUUUCAUCUCACUAGUGUAACAAUAGCAGUGAAGACACAGUGGCGCAGUCUGUGACAGGUCAGCAACCCACGUAUGGACCCAGGUUUAAUCCUCACUCCAGAGCAGGGACUUGAACUCAGAGCUUCCCCCCACCCCAGCGAGAAGGCUACAGGCUAGUCUGGAGUGUAUUGCUCUCAAUCUUUCUUGUUGAAGCUGUUCCACUUUGUAUAAAUACUUAACUGUUCAUUGGGCUAGAGCAAGCGAGCAUGACUAUAGCCUGGUGUUUAAAGCACUAACCUGAGAGCUAGGAGAUGUGGAUUCAAAUCCCUCCUCUGAACCAGGCAGAUAGAGCAGCCCACCCCAGAACAGCCAGUCACCUGUGGGUUAGGAUGCUCAUCUGGGAGGAGGGACGAUUGGGUUCAAGCCCCUGCUCCAGAGUGGGGAUUCAAACCUCUGUCUCCCACAUCCCAGGCAGGUGCCCUAACCAUUCUGCUAAAGCCUCCAAAGGGACAGACGCAUGCACACACGCAUGGACAGACGGUUUGCUGGCCUGGAAAAAGUUUUUCCCAACCAAAACUAAUCAGGUCAAAUUCAUGAAUAGUUUCAGGUCGAUUGAAACAGCAUUUUUCAGCGAUUAAGCUACGUGACUGAAAAAUUUCAUCCAUUUCUCAUGCUGAACCCCUUCACCUGCCACAGACUUCAGUCUGAAAUCAGGGGGAGCUGAGUGGACUCUGGACUUUUAUGAGUUCAGUCCCUAAGAGAACUACCAAUGGGCUCCUAGACCAGGGAGGAACCAGGUAGGGAAAUUGCAUUAGUGAUAGCUUUAGGAUGCUGGCUGUUGGCUAAUACCAGCACCACCACCAUGGGCACAUAGACAUUGGGGAUGGAAAAAACACUCAAGAUCAUCUUGCCUCCCCAUUCAAAGGGCAGGUCAUCGUCUCUCACAAAGCAGGUAACAUAUUAAACUGUUACUGGGGUAGAUCUCAGCCCGGGACUGCAAUGAAAGCAAUGUGAAGUCCUUUUGUUUUCUGCCUUUGCCUAUGCUGCUUUGGAUGAACGAGCCAAGCUGUGGGUCUUGAAGGUUAGAUUUCCUGAGCAAGCCAAUUGUGUUUUAAACUGGGUGCUCUCUUUGUUCUCCCAAGGACUCAGCUUUCUUCCUGCAGGACACAUACUGCCAUUGUUCCUCCAGGUACUCCCACUGUACUUGGGCAGGUUCCCAUUGUUCCUCCAGGUACUCCCGCUGUACUCCAGCAGACUCCCAUUGUUCCGCCAAGCUCUCUCUCUCUGAUGCUUCAGAACAAAACACAGUGUUUGUGAAAAACAUUUUCAAUUUCACCCUUGACUGAGCAGGUCAGGCCUUGCUUGCCCUGAGUCCACAGGGACACCAGCUCACUUCAUCACCUCCUGCUACCUGAUGUUAUGGAUCAUAUUCACUUUCACUAAGCUCCCCUUCCUGGCUGCCAGCGGAGGGGAUGUGGACACAGUUCUUUCUGCAGCCUGUCAAUGCUGUCCCACACCAGCCUGAGAGGCAGAAGAGGGCUCACUCCCUCCCUAGAAUUCCCAGCACUAGCAAAGGGCCAGGACUGGAGAGGCAAGGAUGGUGCAGAUCAGGAUUGAGGUGCAUUGACACAGCCAUAUGGGGAUCCAGCAAUGGAAUAGCAAGGGCACUGCAGGCCGGAGGUCCAGGGUGCAUUGAGGUACACUGAUAAAAGUAGGGGCACCCAGCCAGACGGGAAGUGAGCGCUAAAGUCACAGCUGGCAGGGUUGUAUAAUGGUCGAGGUGGUUUCCCCACUCAGAUGUCUGGCUAUUUAACAACUUGCCAUAUGCCAUGACAAGACCUUGAACCUUGGCCAAACCACAGUGUGCCACUCAGGCAGACAAUGUACAGAUAUUACAUAGCACAUUAAUGUUAUUCCUCUCGGUGCCAGGAUAACAGAUCCCAGUGAACCAGGGAUGCAAAGGGCUUCUAGCCUCUGUCUGGGUUUGUCAUCUUGGAGCAUGUUAAUACUUUAAGGGAAAGUCUAACAGAAGGAGUCGGAGAUGGGAAGAGGGCAGAGGAAACACUCUUCCAGGAUGAGCCCAGCAGAAAUGCUCACAAUAAUACAUAGUUAAACAAAACCAGAGGGCGGGCCAGCUUCUGCAGCCCAGGACACAAAGGCACUCACACGCCUUUAGAAAUAUAUUUUAUUAUUUUAAUGCUCAUUUUAAAAAAAUGUAACCAAGACAUUACACUGAGCAGCAUCACCAGCAGCAGGCUCCUCAGUUCCCGGCUGUCUGAUGACUCAUCACAUUCUAAACCAUUGGUCGAUGCACUUAAAAUAUAAUUACAUGGACAGAAACAACCCCCUCUUCUCCCACUCCUAAGCGAUAGACAUUGAUAGAGGGAAAGGGGAAGCAGCCAAUACAUCAUUUAAAUUAAAAGGGUAAGAGAUACCACAUAUGCCACUGGGGGUUUGGGUCCCCUUGCCCCACGGGUCAGUGGGAAAAUGUAAUACAAGAUGGAGACGAUGGCUCUGAGAAGCAGAGGAAAGAGGAAAAAUUCUCCUUUGAGUGGGAAGGAGGCAAGGAGUGAAUGCAACAGUUGCUCUGGGAUAAAAAGGAUCCAGUCCUGAUUUUGGUACACUGUGGCUUGAACUAACCUAGCUUCCAAAGUAAGGCUGGGAGCUACAAGAAACAGAUUCAGGCCUGAUUCUUGCAUUCUAAGCAUUUAGGGCCCAGAUUAUCUUCUCACACCAAUUUCCCACUGGUGAAACUUCAUUUUAGUUACUCCUGAUUCAUGCUGGUGAAAGGAAGAUCAAAAUCAGACCUUUGACCUCUUCCACUCAGCACUGGAGCAAGGUGCCAGGGAUCGGUAACUAUUGAGAGGAUUGAUCUUUAGGCAGCUUCCUUAUCAAAGAACAAUGGAGUAUUCUACAGCUGUGAUGCCACAACCCGCUCUGUAGCAUUGCUGUUAUUUGGUUAGCCAUUCCUGUAGAAUAUCGUUAGGUUAUUUAUUUAUUUUUAAAUAAGGGCUCAUCAGAUGCAGAUCAAGAAGAAAGGCCUUUGCUACAUCUGGACGUUCUAAGAAGAUGAGCAGCUUCUGUGAAGGGGGAGUCCCCCAAAAAUCUGUUCUGCCUCAGCCACAUAAUGACCAGGUGGGAACAAUCAGCUACACCUGCUUUGGGAAAUCAAGCAUAAAUAUAGAAAGCAUGGGUUAUCCAGAAUAGCCAUGCCACCUGUGUGUGCCCCCGGAACCCACAAUGCAUCUCCCCAAAUCUUCCAGCGUGUUCCUGCCCCCUGAAUGCCCCAGAACCCUCCAGCACACUUCUGCCCUCACCCCGAGCUCUCCAAAAUCUCCCUAAACACAAGCAUUCACUCACUGACCAGCACAAAUUACAAAUUCAUUGGUAAACACUCAUUGUCUGAAAUAGCUCUUCCUGUUUCUUUCCACCAAUUUUCAAGGGUCAUCUGUCAUUGAAACAUCUUGGUCUUGUCGAUACAUAGCUUUCUGCUAUUUAACUCUGCAAUUGUACUAUUCACACAGUCCGUCUGAACCAUGCUAUACAGAAUAAAGUUGUGACGCAUUGUGCACACAAAACCAGACAGCACGCUAUCAAGCAAAAGGCCCUAAGAAUGGCUCUUGAUAAAGUCAAUCCUCGCAACCAGCCAGAACCUCGUCUAAAACUGUGCAAGGCAAAUAAACCCUGGAAUUUGCUAGUCUCUUGGGAAUGAUGAAAUUCAUGGAAUCUUCCUCACACAGAAUCAGACACUAGAUAGCUCUCUCUGUGGGGAGAGGGACAUUUUUAGAAGAAUAGUUUCACUGAACUGGAACAGACUCCUGCUAGGCCCUCCCUCCUUCCCAUUGGCCCAGUCCCCUGCAUCUUGGCUUCCCUAAGAGUUAUUCUUCUCCUGCUCCUUCUCUGAUUGCCACCUCUAUGCUUCCCCACCCCAGGUUCCUUCUCUUCUUCAGAACAGCUGUGUUUCAUCAGCUAACCAUUCUCCACUUCAAAGGAAGUGAGGAGAAUGUGGGAGGGGGAGAAGCACAGCAUCUUUGACCUUUGUAUUGACCACUGAUUUUUGAAGUUGAGAGAAGAGUGGUAUAACAGAUAGAUAGCUGAAAAGGACAGAUAGAAGAGUCAGGAGAAAAACAUAUACUUUGCACAGAGCUCCUCUUCUCUGGCUCUCCUCAGACUCUCAGCCUAAACAGCCAUCAGAUUACGAUGGUAAUGCCCAGUGUUGCCAAUCACAAUCAAAUAAAGAGCCUCACAAUGUGUGAUGGUUUUGCUACAGCCUCAGCUCCUGGAGUCACAUUCUCACAUUAAAAUCUGUGUUUCUAAUUCACAAAUAUGGAGACAAACCUGAAAA